AGACAUGUUGAUUCCUUAUUCAUUUCUUAUCCAGUCUUAUUAUGUCUCUCUUUAUCACUCAUAAUCACAAAAUCAGAGAGUUCCAAUUUCAAAUCGAGAUGAUUUUAAAAUGUAAGUUCAACCCUCUGAAGCACUGAACGGUGAUGCCUUUGAAGGGAACAUGGCAUAGGGAUGAUCACUUUUCCACGCCCCCAUGUUCUCGUCUUCAUUCAGUGUCUGCAUUGUAGCAGCUUUAAAGUGCAAUACUGUCCUACAUUUUAUAUGCUUACAAAAUAUAAAAUAUUUUUUUCAGCCUUCCCCUUUAAAACAGACACAGUUACAGAGUGUCCAGUAUAUUGGUAGCACUGCACAUAGAUAAGACGUGAUUUUUAGCAGUAGAAAACAUUAAUAAGUCAUUUCCCAGGCAAUACUGAACAUGCCACACUAUUUCACGACACACACAUACUUCAUUAGACACGUUAGGAUAUCAGGUGACUUGUAUGUUGUAGCAGCAAACCCAGUGCAGCAUUACAGCAUCUUCAAAUCUCUUUUUUAGCACUAGAUAUUUGUGAAUCAUAAUAUUUAUGCAACACCUGUGAAGCACAUGUGAAGCACAGCUCAUGAGACCACCGUUAUAAAAGACAGGCUAAUUAAUGAUUAGAACAUUACACUAAUUUGCAACUGUAGUGCCAUGAGUUUCAUCUGGACUGUUUAGCUAUGUGAAUUUUGGUGAAUUUUGGCAGAUGAUGCUGUCACCUUCAUCUUCAUCCAAGGUCGUCAAAAUUGCAUGAACCCUGACUGUUUGUGUGAACAAUACGAUCCAUCCUUCCCCUUUUAAAAUAGCAGAAGAGUGUCUCGUCUAAUCAUAAGAGAAGCAUGUACUGAAGUAAUCUGUGAGAUUACUGUUUGCUGCUUUCUCCUAUAGAUGUGUCUGUUUUUCAAAGAUAGUUGUAGGGGAGGAUCUCAUCAUUAAAUCAUGUUGUCAAGGCGACAAGUUUGUGUGGAGCAUGGCUUUGAGCAGAGUGUGUCAGAGCACAGGCGUAUUCCUGUCACCAUUUCAUCACUAUUUCUGCAUAACCUUGGCAAUCCAAACUCCCCAAAAACCGCAACUCCACAACCAGGUAAAUACAUAUGACAGCACUCGCUCAUGCUGCUUUGUCAGACUGAUUCAUAGUAUCAGAUGUACACUGUAAGCAUUUCUAAUGAUGCAUGAAGUGCUGAGCCACAUAUCUGGCAACACAAGCAGUUAAAACAUCAAAUCACUGUUUGUUUUUUUGCAGGGUUAUACAUUAAAUAUGCAUUAAAAAGUACACGUUCAGAUUCGUGUGGUGUGUGUAAGAGUUGUUGGUCUUGCUCAGUUUCUGCAACACACACACUGCAGUGGUCAGUAUCAACAUUUACAUGAUGCUCUGUUUCUUUCUCUGCGUCCAGGGAUCAAGAGCCAUGAAGGCAUAUUCAGUCCCACACUGUGCUCCUGAGUUGAUGUUGUUAGCAUUAUCACUCUUGAUCAAUAACUGUUAAUGAAGGAGACCACGGCUGAUUCGAGAUGUGGCUCGUGCUCUGCGUUGCCAUGGAAACCAGAGCUGCAGCGCUGCAGGCUCAAACUGGGAGUUAGAAGAAAAAGACAGGAAAGAGAAAAAAAAGGAUAAAAAAGGAGUGGGUAUUUCAGAUGGAAAAUAGGAGAAAAGUACUCCCUUUUUAACCAUUAACGCAGGCGUUUUAUGAUCUUUUUAUCCCUUUACUUAUCAAAACACCUUUGGAUAUCUAAUUUUAUAAACAAAUGUUUUUGGUAAAUAAAUUCAAUUUUGGAGGUUAGUCUUUCGGAGGCGUUCGUGUACUCGCUGCACAUCAUGAUCUGCUGUUGUUACAUUUAUUUUACUGUCUAUAGUUGUUACAGAUUAUGCUAGCGUUCACUCCUCACGAUUCAUUCCAGUGGUCACAGCGCCCUCUGUGAGGUGCAGUACCGCUCCAGGCCUGUAGACGGCGGCGCUGAGUCACCCGCUUCAUAAGUCCGCGAUGAAACCACUUCGCACCGAUCGAAUCAUCAGUCCUGCAAGUUCAUCAACACUUCACUUGAUUUAAAACUUUGACGCUACUGUAAACAUUAAUGAAGGACUUUUUAUGGUUGUCCUAUUAAUUUUUAGACAUAGAAAACUUGCUUAGAUACUCGUGGGGGUCAUGAUAGUCAGUCUCUUUCAUUCAUUGUCAGUUAAUCCGUGAUGGUUAAUAGUUAUUUACAUGACAGCGAUGGCAAAUCCAUGUAACAUUACUGCUGACAUGAAACAGUACAUUCUGAGGGAGGUAUACAGAGCUCCCAAGCCCAAGUGGACACAGUUGUCAGGGAGGAGGCUACAGAACUGGGGGUUUGAUAGAACUGGCUGGAAGACCCGCUAAGAGGACAUU